GUCUUUGAUGUUUGCUUUAUUUUCCUUAUGCCACUACUCGUACUAGACCAGAAGUGGCUAAUUCUGAGUUCAAUAAGCUACAUAAACAUGACGUGGUGGUGUGCAGACCUAAUAUCAUCUCAGGAAAAUCGCCAGUUCAAGGCUAGCCUGAGCUACACUGUUUCAAGAAGAAAGCUACAUUUCAAUCUGUCUGCAAGUUCUCCAGGUACUUAAAAUGAUCUCAGAACCCAGACCCAGAAAUGCAUACAAUGCUGGCACCGCUCCCCCAUCCACCUCUUCGGAACCGUAUGGUCUUAAACUUCACUACUCAAUUCCUGCAUAUUACAAAGGUGUAAAAGUCAGGUUUAGGCAGUCCGAGACAACUCUGGCAAGAGUUUUAUCAAGUGAGGACAGAAUCGCUCCAAGGUACGGUUGAGGGGAAACAGUUUUCUUUUGGACCUGGCAGGAGUCUCUCUCUCUCCUUUCACGAAGUUUCUCUCCGGAGAUCCAAAGCCCUCUGGCUUAGGCGGUGGAGAAAAUGGCCAGGCAGGAAAGUCCGUCCAGGAGGUCCGGGGCGAGGCCCCACCUCCCGGAUCUGGAGGCCAGGCCUCCUGCUCGCACAGCUGCCCCACGCUUCCGCGCUCGCCUCCCACUCAGCCCCGGCCCGCUGCUCUCCAUCCCACUGCCCCCGCUUCCCUGCACCCCCGCACGCUCGUGGGGGACCCUACUCCGCGGCCCUGGAGUCUGCACUUUGGAGAAGCAGGCAGAGAUCCUCGCGCGGCCGC
rnacentral:lncRNA from 1 species